rnacentral:rRNA from 1 species
AUGCUGUCCACGUUCAGGAGGAAGCUCGGCGGAAUGCCCGUCAAACUAGUCAGCGUUGAUGUCGAGUACACGCACUACAUGAAGCCACAAUGGACAUCAGUGCUCCAAGUAUGCAUAGAAAAAGAAUGCCUUGUCUACCACAUCUCUGCAGCUAAAAGACAGGCCAAUGGAACUAGACGAAUUCCUCAUGAAUGA